GGAUGCUCGCUACUGCAAUACAUACACUAAAAUUAGAAAAUAUAGAAACAAUUAGUAUGGCCCCUGUCCAAGGAUGACACACAAAUUUGUGAAGCGUUCCAUAUUUUU